AUUGAACGCUGGCGGCAGGCCUAACACAUGCAAGUCGAACGGCAGCGGGGGUAGCUUGCUACCCCGCCGGCGAGUGGCGGACGGGUGAGUAAUGCCUGGGGAGGCUGCCCAAUCGAGGGGGAGUACCAGUUGGAAACGACUGCUAAUACCGCAUACGCCCUGAGGGGGAAAGGUGGGGAUCUUCGGACCUACCGCGAUUGGAUGCACCCAGGUGGGAUUAGCUAGUUGGUGAGGUAACGGCUCACCAAGGCGACGAUCUCUAGCUGGUCUGAGAGGAUGACCAGCCACACUGGAACUGAGACACGGUCCAGACUCCUACGGGAGGCAGCAGUGGGGAAUAUUGCACAAUGGGGGAAACCCUGAUGCAGCCAUGCCGCGUGUGUGAAGAAGGCCUUCGGUUGUAAGACACUUCUAGCGAGGAGGAAAGGGGUAGGAGUAGCGUAAU
rnacentral:rRNA from 1 species